rnacentral:rRNA from 1 species
AACGAACGCUGGCGGCAGGCUUAACACAUGCAAGUCGAGCGCCCCGCAAGGGGAGCGGCAGACGGGUGAGUAACGCGUGGGAAUCUACCCAUCUCUACGGAAUAACGCAUGGAAACGUGUGCUAAUACCGUAUACGUCCUUCGGGAGAAAGAUUUAUCGGAGAUGGAUGAGCCCGCGUUGGAUUAGCUAGUUGGUGGGGUAAAGGCCUACCAAGGCGACGAUCCUUAGCUGGUCUGAGAGGAUGAUCAGCCGCACUGGGACUGAGACACGGCCCAGACUCCUACGGGAGGCAGCAGUGGGGAAUAUUGGAAAAUGGGCGCAAGCCUGAUCCAGCCAUGCCGCGUGGGUGAUGAAGGCCCUAGGGUUGUAAAGCUCUUUCACCGGUGAAGAUAAUGACGGUAACCGGAGAAGAAGCCCCGGCUAACUUCGUGCCAGCCGCCGCGGUAAUAC